CGUGAGACAGUUCGGUCCCUAUCUACUGUAAUUGUUAAAAAUUGAGAGGAUUAAAUUUUAGUACGAGAGGACCAAAUUACGUAAAACCUCUGGUGUAUCAGUUGUUUAAUCAAAAGCAAUGCUGAGUAGCUACGUUUAUAAAAAAUAAUUACUGAAUGCAUAUAAGUAAGAAGUUUACCUCAAAAUAAUUUUUUAAGGUCGUAAUAGAAUAUUUACGUUGAUAGGCUUAUAAUGUAACAACUGUGAAGUUGAAGUCAAGAAGUACUAAUA
rnacentral:rRNA from 15 species